rnacentral:rRNA from 1 species
ACGAACGCUGGCGGCGUGCUUAACACAUGCCAGUCGCACGGAAAGGCCCUGCUUUUGUGGGGUGCUCGAGUGGCGAACGGGUGAGUAACACGUGAGUAACCUGCCCUUGACUUUGGGAUAACUUCAGGAAACUGGGGCUAAUACCGGAUAGGAGCUCCUGCUGCAUGGUGGGGGUUGGAAAGUUUCGGCGGUUGGGGAUGGACUCGCGGCUUAUCAGCUUGUUGGUGGUGUAGUGGCUUACCAAGGCUUUGACGGGUAGCCGGCCUGAGAGGGUGACCGGCCACAUUGGGACUGAGAUACGGCCCAGACUCCUACGGGAGGCAGCAGUGGGGAAUAUUGCACAAUGGGCGGAAGCCUGAUGCAGCAACGCCGCGUGCGGGAUGACGGCCUUCGGGUUGUAAACCGCUUUCGCCUGUGACGAAGCGUGAGUGACGGUAAUGGGUAAAGAAGCACCGGCUAACUACGUG